GAGAUGAAAGGAUCUAAACAUUUUGAAUCGUGACAUGUCCUUUUCUGAUUCAGGCAUGUAGUAGUACCAUAUCAUGGCUGUAUGUUUCCAGAACCACCGUGAUCCGAGAAUUCUUUGUGGCUCUGUGCCCAUCCACUGACCAUUGCUGGCUUGGAUGUGCCCCCCGAGCCAUGAUAGGAAGAAGUGAAUUUUCAAGUGCUGCAAAUCUGAAACAUCAUCAGAUUACCUGAUAAGAAGAGGUUGCGGUGCCGAAGAGGAAAGUGGAAGUGAAAUCGCUCCGACUGAAGCAUGCGACCGAGGAAAGCAGUUGGAAGAAGAGGGUGAUUGCCAAGGUCUUCUUGUUGAUCCCCAUCCUCCAAAAACCGACCACCUCUCCUUCAGCUCUCCUCCCUGAGAGAGGAUGAAGUUUCAGCUCUUGUGGAGUUCGACCAGGUAAGAAGCAAUCAGGUAUCAAUCCCCGGGGUCCACUCCAUUAUUUCUUAUUCUACUUGGCCAUUGUUAACAUCACAUCUCGCAUGGGUCGCGUGGUGGUUGAAGGUAUAUAUAUAUAAUAUGUGUGUACAACGAUAACCGCAAACAAGUCCAAAGAUGCGCGGUACGAAACCAUGCGCGUCACACGUCUUCUCCAAAUGAAAGGCCACAGGAAUAGAAAUCGAGAGUGAUGGUUUUAGAGGGACUCGUUGCUCUGCACAUCUACUCCGUGAGUGUCUUUCUCAUAUGGAAUUUGUUUCCACAGCAAGUAUUGAUCGACUUUUCAAGUUGCGUGCACUCCCAACUCUCAAUCCUUCACCCCCGUUUAUUUACUUGUUGACAUGUGGUCUGUUGAAUCGAGUGUCGAUAUCCCGUCUUUUUUUGCCCUAAAGAAAAAGAACACGUGUAUGUCGUACCAAUCAUAUCGUGGAUUGAAGAUGGAGUAGGAAUUUGGUGGUCUGCCUAUUGGACCACAGCAGCUGAGCGGCACUUGAUGCGUCGGUGGCGGGAGCGGGCCCCAGUCGUUUGACCUGUAUCCGCCUCCCAUCGUAAGGCAAGUGGACAAGACGGGCGAAUAUAAAACGGGUCGGAUCUACCUCGAGAAUGUGAUGGAACUGUGGAACCAAAUGCCGAACCGCAGGUUUGUUCGAAGGAUUAUUAUGGUGAUACUGAUCUGAUGUGUUUUUGGAGUGGAUUGAUGAAGAUGCAGAGUGCCCAUAUUGUGAAGGACUGGGCUACACCAUUUGUUUGAUGUUUGUGAUGUUAACUUUACUGCACUAUUUUCAUAUCAAAAGUUUUCGCAG